AGAGUUUGAUCCUGGCUCAGAAUGAACGCUGGCGGCAUGGAUCAGGCAUGCAAGUCGAGCGCGAAGGGUGUUUUCGGAUGCCUUGUAGAGCGGCGCAAGGGUGAGUAACGCGUGAGCAACCUGCCCCCGACUCCGGGACAGCCCAUGGAAACGUGGAUUAAUACCGGAUGCGGCCGCGGGACCGCCUGGUCCCGAUGGCCAAAGGUCCGCCGGUCGGGGAUGGGCUCGCGUCCCAUUAGCUUGUUGGUGAGGUAACGGCUCACCAAGGCCGAGACGGGUAGCUGGUCUGAGAGGAUGGUCAGCCACACUGGGACUGAGACACUGCCCAGACUCCUGCGGGAGGCUGCAGUCGAGAAUCAUCCGCAAUGGACGCAAGUCUGACGGUGCGAUGCCGCGUGAGGGAUGACGGCCUUCGGGUUGUAAACCUCUGUCAGGAGGGACGAAGGAUGUGACGGUACCUCCAGAGGAAGCCACGGCUAACUACGUGCCAGCAGCCGCGGUAAUACGUAGGUGGCGAGCGUUAUUCGGAUUUACUGGGCGUAAAGGGUCCGCAGGGGGUUUGCCAAGUCUGGUGUGAAAUCUUGCGGCUCAACCGCGAAACUGCACUGGAAACUGGCGAACUGGAGUCCGGAAUGGGAGAGCGGAAUUCCUGGUGUAGCGGUGGAAUGCGUAGAUAUCAGGAAGAACACCGGCGGCGAAGGCGGCUCUCUGGUACGUGACUGACCCUGAGGGACGAAAGCGUGGGUAGCGAACAGGAUUAGAUACCCUGGUAGUCCACGCUGUAAACGUUGUGCACUAGAUGUGGGGAGUACUUUGGUCCUUUCCGUGUCCAAGCUAACGCGUUAAGUGCACCGCCUGGGGACUACGGCCGCAAGGCUAAAACUCAAAGGAAUUGACGGGGGCCCGCACAAGCGGUGGAGCAUGUGGCUCAAUUCGAGGCAACGCGAAGAACCUUACCUGGGUUUGACAUGCACGGGCCCACCCUCGAAAGGGGGCUUUUUCUUCGGAAACCCGUGCACAGGUGCUGCAUGGCUGUCGUCAGCUCGUGCCGUGAGGUGUUCGGUUAAGUCCGGCAACGAGCGCAACCCGUGUGGUCAGUUGCGACCAGUUGAAGCUGAGCACUCUGGCCAGACUGCCCGUGUCAAGCGGGAGGAAGGCGCGGAUGACGUCAAGUCCGUAUGGCCCUUACGUCCAGGGCUGCACACGUGCUACAAUGGGCGGCACAAUGGGAUGCAAUACCGCGAGGUGGAGCAAAUCCGUAAAAACCGUCCUCAGUUCGGAUUGGAGUCUGCAACUCGACUCCAUGAAGCCGGAAUCGCUAGUAAAGGGGUAUCAGCAACGGCCCCUUGAAUACGUUCCCGGGCCUUGUACACACCGCCCGUCACAUCAUGGAAGCCGGCUGCACCCGAAGUCGCUGGGUGAACCCCUCGGGGACACAGGCGCCGAAGGUGUGUCCGGUAACUGGGAUGAAGUCGUAACAAGGUA
rnacentral:rRNA from 1 species